rnacentral:rRNA from 1 species
GACGUAGGGCGCGAGCGUUUGUCCGGAUUUAUUGGGCGUAAAGAGCUCGUAGGCGGCUUGUCGCGUCGACUGUGAAAUCCCGAGGCUCAACUUCGGGCUUGCAGUCGAUACGGGCAGGCUAGAGUUCGGUAGGGGAGACUGGAAUUCCUGGUGUAGCGGUGAAAUGCGCAGAUAUCAGGAGGAACACCGAUGGCGAAGGCAGGUCUCUGGGCAUUAACUGACGCUGAGGAGCGAAAGCAUGGGGAGCGAACAGG